CGUUUUGUUGUCCAAGUGGUUAGAGCAUCCGCCUCAAAUGUAGGGGGUCGUGGGUUCAAACCCCGGCCAAGUCAU